rnacentral:tRNA from 1 species
UCCCUGGUGGCUCAGCUGGUAAAGAAUCCACCUGCAAUGUCGAAGACCUGGGUUCUAUUCCUGGCCUGGGAA